rnacentral:rRNA from 1 species
UACGUAGGGGGCAAGCGUUAUCCGGAUUUACUGGGUGUAAAGGGAGCGUAGGCGGUUCGGUAAGUCUGGUGUGAAAGCCCGGGGCUCAACCCCGGGACUGCAUUGGAAACUAUCGAACUUGAGUGUCGGAGAGGUAAGUGGAAUUCCUAGUGUAGCGGUGAAAUGCGUAGAUAUUAGGAGGAACACCAGUGGCGAAGGCGACUUACUGGACGAUAACUGACGCUGAGGCUCGAAAGCGUGGGGAGCAAACAGG